CCGAUCGAGCUACUGACCCUCCAGGGCGCCCAUAGUCGCACCUCCGCCAUGGCCAAAACUGUUAAAGACGUGCCCUCGCACGAAUUUGUGCGCAACUACGCUGCCCACUUGAAGCGCUCUGGCAAGGUACCACUCUCGACGAAUGCUUUUGGUGGGGUGGACCCCGUUUUUGUUUGUUUUUUUUCUGUAACUUAGGGUCUUCACGUUACAGAGGGGUGCACUUUUGUCGACACAUUUGAGAAGUGCGGAAGGUGGCGAGGAUUGGGAUCUCGGGAUGCACAUGUGAUUUCAGUUCAGUAGGGGUGUGUGACACUGAAUUGGGUUUCGGGUGGAGUCGAUUAGGGUUUUAGGGUUUUGGUGCUCUUUUGGUCCCGACUGUGUCCGUUGGUAUUGGAGUUGCAAUACCUAAUAGAUGGCUGUUUUUUCUCGUCUGCAGAUUGAAGUUCCCGCAUGGGCUGAUCUUGUGAAGACCGCUACCUUCAAGGAACUUGCCCCUUACGAUGCUGACUGGUACUACAUCAGAGCUGGUAUGUGUUGGUUGCGUUGGCAGAGUUCCUUGCUUUCUUGCGUAUGUCCGUUAUGCGUGUGGUCGCGAUUCGUAUUUACUUAGUUGGAGAAAUUUAAUCCUUUUGAAGGGACUAGUUCAGAAAGCUACACAAGUGUUUUUAUUCCAUUUUUAGUUUGAGCAUGGUUAAUGCAUCGGGUUUGUUCUCUUACCUGUACAUUGUUAUUGCCGUACGGGCUUGAAACUCAUUGCUCCAUUAAUUGCCUGAUUUCUGAAGCCUCUAUGGCGAGAAAGAUCUACCUGAGGGGAGGAAUUGGAGUGGGCGCUUUCAAGAAGAUUUACGGUGGCCGUAAGAGCAAUGGAGUUAGACCGUCUCACUUUGCCAAGAGCAGCGGUUCAAUUGCAAGGCACUGCCUGAAGCAGCUAGAGGCUCUUAACAUAGUCGAGAAGGAUGUUAGGGGGUCAGUUCCUUCUGUCUCUUUUUCUUUCUCUGCAUGUGCAUUCUUAGGGUUAGGGUUUUGAUUUGGUUUGGUAGGAUCAUGUACUACACGAAUCAAAUUACUUCGAAUUGUUCUCAGAGCUUGAGAAUCACUUUAAUAAGUGUCUUGUGCGUUUGCUUAAUGGUAUCUAGUCAAUGUCAUGUGAAACUUCGCAACCUUUGCUUCUAGCUUGGUGUUUUUUUUCUGAUCACUUUGUUGUAAUUUGCAGAGGAAGGCGCAUCACCUCUGAUGGGCAGCGUGACCUUGAUCAGGUAGCCGGACGCAUUGCCAUCGCUGCGGCUUAGUUACAUGAAUGUAGCAGUAGUACUGGUUGACUUGGGAAAAAAAGAAAAUGCUUGAGCACCGUGUGCUGAGUGGGAUUGUGGAGGGCGCUGCCAUACAUGACGUUCGAUUUAUGAACCGCAUUGCAAUCCAUUAUCUUGUUCUGUGUUGUGCAGCACUAUGCAUUUCCACUUCUCUGUAAUCAAGAUACUGUCGCUGAUCCG
rnacentral:lncRNA from 1 species